UCGAGCGGCAAGGGCCUUCGGGCCCCUAGAGCGGCGGACGGGUGAGUAACACGUGGACAAUCUGCCCCCCGGUCCGGGAUAGCCCAGGGAAACCUGGAUUAAUACCGGAUGAGACGGGACCCGCGGAGGCGGGAUCCGGGAAAGGCGCUGCGGCGCCGCCGGGGGAUGAGUCUGCGUCCCAUUAGCUAGACGGCGGGGUAACGGCCCACCGUGGCGACGAUGGGUAGCCGGCCUGAGAGGGUGGACGGCCACAUUGGAACUGAGACACGGUCCAGACUCCUACGGGAGGCAGCAGCUAAGAAUCUUCCGCAAUGGGCGAAAGCCUGACGGAGCGACGCCGCGUGAACGAAGAAGGCCGUGAGGUUGUAAAGUUCUUUUCGGGAGGGGGAACAACCGUGGCAGGGAAUGGCCGCGGGAUGACGUGAAUCCCGGAAUAAGCCCCGGCUAACUACGUGCCAGCAGCCGCGGUAACACGUAGGGGGCGAGCGUUGUUCGGAAUCAUUGGGCGUAAAGGGCGUGCAGGCGGUCCUGCAAGUCCGGCGUGAAAGACCCCGGCCCAACCGGGGGGACGCGCUGGAAACUGCAGGGCUUGAGUACAGGAGGGGAUGCCGGAAUUCCAGGUGUAGGGGUGAAAUCUGUAGAUAUCUGGAAGAACACCAAUGGCGAAGGCAGGCAUCUGGCCAUGUACUGACGCUG
rnacentral:rRNA from 1 species